rnacentral:tRNA from 1 species
GCGUAUAGCUCAGUCGGUAGAGCGGCGGUCUCCAAAACCGUAGGUCGGGGGUUCGAGUCCUCCUGCGC